rnacentral:lncRNA from 1 species
GUUAUACGCUACAAAUUACUCCAAACUUAGCCACUUAAAACAGUAACUUUUUGUUAUCUCAGAGUUUCUGUGGGUGAGAAUCUGAGAGUGGCUUAGCUGAAGGUUCUGGCUCAGGAUCUCUCAGGUUGCAGCCAAGCUGUUGGCUGUCAAAGCCUGACCUGGGUGAAGGAUGUGUUUCCAAGCUCACUCAUGUGGUUGCUGGGAGGCCUCAGCAACUUGACACAUAAGCCUCUCCAUAGGCUACUUGAGUGUCUUGAUUACAUGGUGGUUGGCUUCCACGAGAGUAAGCAAAGAGAGAGACACACAAAGAGAAGGACAGAGAGGCAGAGAGAGAAUGAGAGAGACAGCAGGAGAGUACACCCAAGGGGGAAACAACAGUCUUUUAAAAUCUAAUCUCUUAAUUGACAUACCAUCACUUCUACUGUAUACUAUUAAUCACACAGAACAAACCCGAUCAAUAUGAGAAAGGACUACACAGGGGUGUGACUCCCAGAAGGAGGCGAUGAUUGGAGGCCAUCUUGGGACCUGUGUACCACAGACUGUUAUCGCGAAAACAGAAGAUGAAACUAAAGAUGAAAGAGAGUGAUUUUUCUAACCCCUGUUUGAGCGAAGACUCCCCCACAACCUAAAAGAUCAAUCAUAUGGAAAACAGAAAGUUUUUCAGCACAAGGAUGACUUCUCAAUAGAGAAUGAAGAAAAAGUGCAGGAGAAGGAGACAUGUCCACCGUGCGAUGAAUGGAUUCUCAAGAAAAAAUAUAAAGUGCCUAGAAGAUAUUGCGGGUCCCCUUGCAGAACACUGCAAUAAAGUAAAUAUUGCAAUAAAGUGAUAAGGAAUAUAACUGAAGAGCUACCACAGAAAUGAAAAGAUUAUGAGGAAGUUGAAAAUUGCCUUGAACGCACUCAUAUAGUCUUGGUGGUUUGGACUGCUAGAGAGAUGAAAGGAAGCAUCAUGAACCUAGGAGAAGGUUCUAUUUAAAGAUAGCAGCCUGGAUGUGCAGAAUGCGGUGAAAAUAAUGAUGUGCCAGACCCCACUAGACUUCAGUGGCCCCGUGUGCUUCCAUUGUCUCUCUCGGAACUCUGCGCCUGCCAUGUGAACAAACCCAGCUCAGCAGAUGGACCGGAAGAUCAUGUGGAAGAGGUCCCAGCUAUCCUUGCUGAGGCCAUCCUCAACCUGCCGGCAACCAGCUGAUUCUGAACCAUGUGAGAGAAUCCAGCCACGAUCUGCAGAACCAACUCUUCCCUACUGACAGCUGACCACAGGAAUGCGUGCCUGAGCCCAGCUGAGCCCAGAAGAACUGUCCUGCUGACCUAGAGACCCAUGAGCAAAGAUACACGCUUUUGACAUUAACUCACUGAAAUGUAGUUGGUUUGUUCCACAGCAGUAGCUAAACACACCGAAAGUUUUCCAAAGUAUGAAAAGUAUAUGAAGAGCCAGUGCAAAAUCAUUCCUGGGAAUCAGGCAGACAAGAGCUCAGUUCUGUGUCAAGGAUGCAUCUCUUAAGGGGAACCAAGGGUGUCUGCUAUCAUCCUGGUGGUUAUGUACUGAAAGAAAAAAGGACAAGUUAAGGGCUGGCCCAGUGGUGCAGCGGUUAAGUUCCCACAUUCCGCUUUGGCGACCCAGGGUUUGCAGGUUCGGAUCCUGGGCUUGGACCUACGCACCUCUGUCAAGCUGUGCUGUGGCAGGCGUCCCACAGAUAAAGUAGAGGAAUGGAUGUUAGCUCAGGGCCAGUCUUCCUCAGCAAAAGAGGAGGACUGGCAGCAGGUGUUAGCUCAGGGGUAAUCUUCCUCAAAAGAAACACGAAAACCCAAGUUAAAAGUGUAAGGGUAAACUGAUUUAGGGAUCAGAGUCCUGUAAGGCAUAAUUCUUUGUAGGAAUGGGCCAUAAUUCAGCAUAAGGAAAGUAAAGAAAAAGAGUUGCCUUCUCUUUUAGCAUUAAAAAGAAAUUGCAUCUCAAUUUGCUCAUUUUAUCAAUAUGCUUCUAUCUUAAUCUGCAUAUGAGGAAGAAAGGUUUUGUCUUCUGUGAUUCUAGCUUCCUUUUUUCCUUUUUCUAGGGUCUUAAAAUAUGUUUAUCUUUUGUUAGUUUGUGUCUCUACAUAGGGCCCAGCGUAUCCAAUGUCUCCCUAUGAGAAACUGCCUAUCAGAAAAGAGUAAAAAUUAAGGGAACUCAUUUAUGGUCAAUUGCCUCUUUUCCUAGGGACUUAGCUCUUAAGGGAAAACAAAACCACUAAAUGAAAUCAAUCAGCAAGGAGGUGGCAGACCUGAUUUUCUCUUGAGAAAUGGGUAGAGCGUAGGCGGCAACCCACUUCGAUUCCAGCAAGUCUGGUCUCCGCAUGACAGAGAAGGCGCUGAAGGUUGCCUCCAGGUGGAGAGGAUUUCGGACUAGCCGUCCUUUUCAAGGCUGGUGAAGCAACAAACCCUUGAGCCAUCGGUUGCCCUUUGGUCUUUUGAAGGACUUUCUGAUAGUAUUUCCUAAAUCUACCUCAACUCCCCACCCUGAGACUCAGACGGAUUAUUCCUCCCAGAACAAAAAUAUAAGAAUCCAUGACUUUUGAUACUGGUAGAGUUCCUCUUGGAAACAAAUGUAGGCCCUCCAUCUCCUUUCUAGAAGAAUGCCUGUUCCCUCUUGGAAACGACUGAAUCAUUGUUGCCAUCUUCUUUCUUCCCAGAAGAACAAUAACACCGUUUUAGUUCUCUCAUUCUUUUCUUAAAGCAAUGCUGGGUGUUAUUUAUACAACUUAAGACUUGAUUACACUUGACAUUGAAGUAGCUAUUUGUACAGAAAUUCAUCUUUCUUAUUAGUAGCAUAAAGUUUGUCUUCUCCCCUAAGAUGUCUCAUCAACUUAUGCUACCUUUUCAUUAUAGCUCUUACUCUAUUUGCUUCAUUCCUUCCUUUCCUUCCUUCCCUUCUCCCUCCC